ACGUGCCAGCAGCCGCGGUAAUACGUAGGUGGCAAGCGUUGUCCGGAUUUAUUGGGCGUAAAGCGAGCGCAGGCGGUUUUUUAAGUCUGAUGUGAAAGCCUUCGGCUCAACCGAAGAAGUGCAUCGGAAACUGGGAAACUUGAGUGCAGAAGAGGACAGUGGAACUCCAUGUGUAGCGGUGAAAUGCGUAGAUAUAUGGAAGAACACCAGUGGCGAAGGCGGCUGUCUGGUCUGUAACUGACGCUGAGGCUCGAAAGUAUGGGUAGCAAACAGGAUUAGAUACCCUGGUAGUCCAUACCGUAAACGAUGAAUGCUAAGUGUUGGAGGGUUUCCGCCCUUCAGUGCUGCAGCUAACGCAUUAAGCAUUCCGCCUGGGGAGUACGGCCGCAAGGCUGAAACUCAAAGGAAUUGACGGGGGCCCGCACAAGCGGUGGAGCAUGUGGUUUAAUUCGAAGCUACGCGAAGAACCUUACCAGGUCUUGACAUACUAUGCAAAUCUAAGAGAUUAGACGUUCCCUUCGGGGACAUGGAUACAGGUGGUGCAUGGUUGUCGUCAGCUCGUGUCGUGAGAUGUUGGGUUAAGUCCCGCAACGAGCGCAACCCUUAUUAUCAGUUGCCAGCAUUAAGUUGGGCACUCUGGUGAGACUGCCGGUGACAAACCGGAGGAAGGUGGGGAUGACGUCAAAUCAUCAUGCCCCUUAUGACCUGGGCUACACACGUGCUACAAUGGAUGGUACAACGAGUUGCGAACUCGCGAGAGUAAGCUAAUCUCUUAAAGCCAUUCUCAGUUCGGAUUGUAGGCUGCAACUCGCCUACAUGAAGUCGGAAUCGCUAGUAAUCGCGGAUCAGCAUGCCGCGGUGAAUACGUUCCCGGGCCUUGUACACACCGCCCGUCACACCAUGAGAGUUUGUAACACCCAAAGUCGGUGGGGU
rnacentral:rRNA from 2 species